GCUGCUCACAGCAUGAUGGACCAGUAAAUCAAGAGACAAAUUCUUGGGUCAAGGAAUCGUGACUUUAUUUGGAAAGCCAGCAGACCCAGAAGGUGGUAGAUUAGUGUCCCAAAGAACCCUGUUAGCCGGGUUAGAAGUCAGGCUUCUUCUACACUGAAAGGGGAAGGGCAUGGUGGGUUGCUGCAAAUUUCUUGGUGUCAGCAUCCUUUAACCUUGCAGCUGUCCACAUAGGUCAGAUCCCAAUAUUCUUGUGAACCUCUAACAAGACAAAUGUCAGUCUCUGUUCUGCAACUUUUUAUCUCUAUACGAAUGGAAAAGUUUAUUCCUCUAAUGGUCAGAACCUUGGAAAUGGGCUGUCCUGUAUAUUUCAGGCGACGGGCAACAUUCUUAUAGCAAAAGCACCAGAAUAGAAAAGUUGUAAAAGAAACAGAUCCAGUAUGGAGUACAAUUUGUUCUUCCCUAUUACAGUUACUGUUUCUCACCUCUUUGUGUAUAUAGAUGGCUCUAUUGGUGGAUCACUAAUUGUGUAGUUUCUAUAUAGUAGCAGUGAUAGUUUCUAUGUAGUACCACUGGUACAUUUAUACCAAAUGAUAUGUGCAGAUACCUCUGUUUGUAACAUUGGAUAUUAAUCUUCUUUUUCUCUUUCAUCAACUUAAUAACCUUUCACCCAUUCUUAAAAGUAAUUUGGGUUGACCUUUAUUCCCCUAUGUUAGUUUUAUUGAAUUAUAAUCUACAUUGAGUGAAAUGCACAAAUCUUUUCCUCACCACUUACACUAUGUUAAAGUGUACGGUUUAGUGUUUUAUGAAUAUUCAGUGUUCGAAACCAUCACUACUAUCUGAUUUUAAAAGAGUACCAUCAUCCAAAAAAUGAACUCCAUAACCAUUAGUAGUCACAGCCAAUUCCUCCCUCCUCCAAGCUCUUGUCAAUUACUAAUCUACUUUCUUUAUCUAUGGAUUUGCCUAUUCUGGACAUCUCAUAUAAACAGAAUUAUUCAAAUAUGUGACCAUUUGUGUAUGGCUUCUUUCAUUUAGUAUCAUGUUGUCAAGGUCUAUCCAUGUUGUAGCAUGUAUUAGUACUUAUCUUCCUUUUUUGGUCUAGAAAUACUCCAUUGUAUGGAUACCACUUUUUAUAUUUCUCCUCAUUAGUGGAUGGACAUUUGGGUUGUUUCUACAUAUUAGCUACUGUGAAUAAUGCUGGUAUGAACAUUCUUUUGCAGUUGAUUGUCUGAACAUGUUUUCAUUUGUCUUGGGUAUGUACUUAGGUGUAGAAAUGCUAAGUCAUAUGGAAACUUUACCUUUUUGAGGAAAAGCCAAACUGUUUUCCAUAGAGGCUGCAUCAGCUUACAUUCCCACUUGCAAUAUAUGAAGCUUCCAAUUUCUCUGCAUCCUCAUCAACACUUGUUCUCCCCCCAGUACACACCCCUUGUUUUAAAUUAUAGCCAUCCUAGUGCAAGUGAAGUGGUAUCUUAUUCUAGUUUUGUUUUACAUUUCCCUAAUGACUAAUGAUGUUGAGCAUCUUUUCAAGUGAUUUUUCAAGUGGCCAUUUGUAUAUUUUUUUGGAGAAUAUCUACUUAGAUUCUUUGCCUUUUUUGAAUUGGAUUUAUUGGCCUUUUUAUUGUUGAAUUGUGAUGAUUCUUUAUGUAGUCUAGAUAUAAGUCCCUCAUCAGAUACACUAUUUGCAAAUUUUUUUUCUAUCCUGUAGGUUCUUUUCACUUUCUUGAUAGUGAACACUUUAAAGCACAAAACUUUUUAUAUUUUGAUGAAGUCUAAUUUAUUUUUUCUGUUAUUGUUUGUUCUGUUAAUAUUGUUCCUAAGGAAUCUUUGGCUAACCCAAAGUCCCAAAGAUUUGCUACUAUGGUUUUUUUCCUAAAAGUUUUAUAAUUUUUAGCCUUAUGUUUAGGUCUUCAAUUUAGUUAUGAUGUGUGCCUGGGAACCUCCGUGUGCCUCGGGAGCAGCCCUAGAAAAGGCAAAAAGACCAAAAAAAAAUUUUUUUUUUUAUUUCAAUCCAAUACACAUAACACAAAAUUUCCCAUUUUAACCACUUCAAAGUGUGUAAUCUGGUAGCAUUAUGCACAUUCAAGAUGUAUCUUUGUGACCUUUUUGGAAAACAGUAAUCUGACAAGUUCUAAUCAUUUCCCUGAUUGAAAUGCUUUUUAGACUCAUGAAAAUUUUGAUUACAUUCUACCAUUUCUCCAACCCCAUCUCAUUUAUGAAAAAUUACAUGGUGAUUCCCACAGACCUAGAAUUGCAAAGCUGGGAUAUAUGGAAACACGAAGUCAAAAGCUUUAAGAUAAACCAUACCAGAUGAGAGAGUGAAAAUCCUAAUGCAUAGGAGACCAGAGACGAGUUCUAACACGAGUUCUGCUACGAAUUGGCAUGUUGUUGUCUAUUGGAUAAACUUGGGCCAAUUAUUUGCAUCUCUAAGAUCCCUUCCCAGUAGUAAAUCUCAUGCAUCCAAAUAUAUUAACAUGAAUUAGGAGAGAAUGUCCUGUGUUUCUCUGAAAAUAGGGUGUAGUUUGUCUUAGUACUAGAUGCAGAGGCUGAAGAAGCAGUCUCACUUGGUUAUGUACAGCCCUUGGAUCAGCUGUGCCAAGACUUUGCCUUUGAGCAACUAAAACUUCAGUGUCAGGGCUCUAGACACCUUUCCUACUAAAGUUCAAUUCAAUAUGGUGUCAAGUCUGUUGAGACUUAGUAAAUCAUCUAACAAUUCAAAUUGUUCAAGACCUAACUGAAUGCAAUGAAGUAUUACAGAAAAAAUAGUGAAAUUCAUCUCUAGAUAUUCCAAUAUGUAAAAAUCAUUACAUUAAUGAUUUUUAAUGUCUAUUAGUAUUUCAGCUCACCGUGCCUAUAUACUCAUGCAUAAUAAUGUAUCAUUUCUGCCAGUAUCCAUACCAGCCAAUGACCACUUCAGGUGUUAUGUAUUUUGAUAUGCUUUUUUUCCCUAGUCAAUGACUCUAAUGAGAAGAGGCCCUUAGGCACUUAGAACCAUUUAAGAAACUCCCCAAAUUAAUUAUAAAAUAGUGAGUUUUAAAUGGUACCCCAGAGAUGUAAAAGAUCGUUUGUGAAUCCAAAGGUGCCAAAUUUCCUUGGAAGCAGGAAAUAGCUUAUAACUUGUUUAACCUGGUAAACAAAGCAUACAGACAGUAAAAACAAAACAAAAACAAAAGCAAAAAAACCCCUACGAAUGUAAGUAAAUUCACUUCCUUUUCUUAGGUACCAGUAAUUUUUUACUGUUGUUCCCUCUCAGAAGGGAAUAUGCUACAGAGGAAGGAUAUUGACUUAUAAAACAUCUAAUACUCUGCAGUAAUACCUUAGUUGGCAAAUAGCUAAGAUAGCUGUAAUGCCUAAUUUAUUAGACACUGUCUUAAACACAAAGGAUAUUUAAAAAUACUAGACCCUGGAAAGCACAUGAAUUUUGUGUAUAUUUUAAGAAUGAAUGCUUAAGAUGUAUAUUUUUAAAUUGUUUAUUUUUAAAAUCAUGGUAUUUUUUUAAUGCAGAUGUAAUUUUAUCUCCCGUAUUAAGUUGAUGAUUACUUUUGAGAGAAGGACUGGGCUCCAGUAUACCAGAAUGAAAUAAAUUUACAGCUGUAUUAACCUGGAAAGCCUUAAAUGAUUUAGAUCAUGGCUGUGUAACUAUUUAUUCCCAGCUGAUGUUUCAUCUGCUAAUGUAAAUAAGUGUUCUAAGGUAUAUAUAGGAAUCCCACUGUUAAUAAACAUCCAUGUUUACCCAAAAAGUCAUUCUUAAACCCAUGGAUCUGCACGGUUUUUAUCUAAACGCUAGUGGUAAGAAGAAUAGACUGAAGACUUUUGAAGACCAGCAGUAUAAGACUGCUGGAGUUAAAAAUCUGACUGCCACUCUUCAGGUCACUGUGGAAGCAUGGGUUUGAUCCCCAGCCCAGCACCUUGAAAUAAAGGAUCUGGUAUUGCUGCAGCUGUGAUUCUGAUUCUAUGCCUGGCCCAGGAACUUCCAUAUGCCAAGGGUAUGGCCAUUAAAAAAAAAAAAAAA
rnacentral:lncRNA from 1 species